rnacentral:rRNA from 1 species
GAUGAACGCUAGCGGCAGGCUUAAUACAUGCAAGUCGAACGGGAUUCGGGGUAGCAAUACUUUGAUGAGAGUGGCGCACGGGUGCGUAACGCGUAUGCAACCUACCUUUAACAGGGGAAUAGCCCCGAGAAAUCGGGAUUAAUACUCCGUAACAUUGCGGUGUGGCAUCACACUGCACUUAAAGCUGAGGCGGUUAAAGAUGGGCAUGCGUGACAUUAGCUAGUUGGUGAGGUAACGGCUCACCAAGGCAACGAUGUCUAGGGGUCCUGAGAGGGUUAUCCCCCACACUGGUACUGAGACACGGACCAGACUCCUACGGGAGGCAGCAGUAAGGAAUAUUGGUCAAUGGGCGCAAGCCUGAACCAGCCAUGCCGCGUGCAGGAAGACGGCCCUAUGGGUUGUAAACUGCUUUUGUCAGGGAAUAAACCCCCGCUCGUGAGCGGGGCUGAAGGUACCUGAAGAAUAAGCAUCGGCUAA